rnacentral:rRNA from 1 species
AUUGAACGCUGGCGGCAGGCCUAACACAUGCAAGUCGAGCGAGCGGCGGAAGGGUGAGUAAUGUAUGGGGACUGCCCGAUAGAGGGGGAUAACUACUGGAAACGGUGGCUAAUACCGCAUACUAUCGGAUAACCCAUAUGGGAUUAGCUAGUAGGUGGGGUAAAGGCUCACCGAGGCGACGAUCUCUAGCUGGUCUGAGAGGAUGAUCAGCCACCCUUGCACUUAGACACGGCCCAGACUCGUACGGAGGCAUCGUUGGGGAAUAUUGCACAAUGGGCGCAAGCCUGAUGCAGCCAUGCCGCGUGGAUGAAGAAGGCCUUAGGGUUGUAAAGUACUUUCAGCGGGGCGGCGUUACCCGCAGAAGAAGCACCGGCUCACUCCGUGCCAGCAGCCGCGGUAAUAC